rnacentral:rRNA from 1 species
UACGGAGGGUGCGAGCGUUGUCCGGAAUCACUGGGCUUAAAGCGUGUGUAGGCGGGCCGUUAAGUGUCUUGUGAAAUCCCCCGGCUCAACCGGGGAAUUGCUGGGCAUACUGGCGGUCUUGAGCAAUCUAGGGGCAGAUGGAACAAGUGGUGGAGCGGUGAAAUGCGUAGAUAUCACUUGGAACGCCAAAGGUGAAGACAGUCUGCUGGGGAUUUGCUGACGCUGAGACACGAAAGCCAGGGGAGCGAACGGG